rnacentral:rRNA from 1 species
UACAGGGGGGGCAAGCGUUGUUCGGAAUUACUGGGCGUAAAGGGCUCGUAGGUGGCCAACUAAGUCAGACGUGAAAUCCCUCAGCUUAACUGGGGAACUGCGUCUGAUACUGGAUGGCUUGAGUUUGGGAGAGGGAUGCGGAAUUCCAGGUGUAGCGGUGAAAUGCGUAGAUAUCUGCAGGAACACCCGUGGCGAAGGCGGCUGGCUGGACCGCAACUGACGCUGAGGAACGAAAGCUAGGGGAGCAAACAGG